CUUUCUUUUCCUUUCCUUUCCUUUUUCCUUACCUUUUUCCUUUCCUUUCCUUUUUCCUUUCCUUUCCUUUCCUUUUUCCUUUCCUUUCCCUUUUCCUUUCCUUUCCCUUUUCCUUUCCUUUCCUUUCCCCUUUCCUUUCCUUUCCUUUUUCCUUUCCUUUCCUUUCCUUUUUCCUUUCCUUUCCUUUUUCCUUUCCUUUCCCCUUUCCUUUCCCCUUUCCUUUCCUUUCCCCUUUCCUUUCCUUUCCUUUCUUUCAUCUUUUGUCCUUUUAGGCCCGCACCCUCAUGGUUUCUAGUUGGAUUCGUUAACCACUGAGCCACGACAGGAACUCCGAAAAAAGGAACUUUAGAGUACCCUAGGAAACACUAUUUUGGCCAGGUGAUCAAAACCCACAUGGUCAGUGGUGAGGCAUGUUAACAUAAAUCCUUGAUAAGAUGAACAGAGUGAGAAUGACACCUAGUGUUCUUCCUCCCCCCCAAAACAGUAAGCCCAGUCUAACCAUGACAGAAACCUUGGAAAACUCCGAGGGACACCAAUAAAAUACCUGACCAGUGCUCCUUAAAACUGUCAGGGUCAUCAAAAAUCAAAAAAAACUGAGGUUAAGCAGACACAAUGACCAAACGUAACUUGGCAUACUGGAAUGAAAGAAAAAGAGAAAAGGCUAAAAAUCUGAAAGAAGUAUGGAAUUUAGUUAAUGGUUACUUACAUUAGUUGUGACAAAUAUAGCAAUGUAAGAUGUAAACAACAGGGAAAUCGGGCAGGAAUUCUACUAUUUCUACAACAUUUCUUUGUAUUUCACACUCUUCCAAAAUAGUUUAUUUCAAUCCUUUUUUCCCUUUGGCCGUGCCUGUGGCAUAUGGAAGUUCCCAGGCUAGGGACUGUACCCGCCCUAGCAGUGACCCAAGCCACAGCAAUGAAAAUGCUGGGUUCUUAACCUGCUGAGCCACAGAGGAACUCCCAAAUUUAUUUAAAUUUGAAAAAUUGUGUUUUCACACUCAAAGCAACUAUAGAUCUAACCUAACAGAAUUUGACUCAACUCCCUAAGGGUUGUUGAUUUCCAAAUAGAAUCUGAGGAUUUUUUCUCAACUUAGGGAUUUUAAAUCAGAUUUAUAGCUCAUCACAAGGUCCUUGGUACAUUCAUUAUUUAGUCAAUUCAUUUAUACCAAAUGUAUGAUGUACAUAAAAUUCCCCCAAAGGGAAUUCUACCAUUCUAUGAAAGGACUCCAGGCAUAUAGCCUUGCGAUUUUGAAAUAACUUCAGGGCCACUGUUUAUAUUACAGCCUCAUUUCAGCUUUGUCCAACAGAUCACUAGGCCUUUUUUAAAAAAAAUGUAUUUCAGAAGUAAGUGGUAUGUUUUGAUUUAUAGUAAAGCAUCUUUCUAAUAAUUUAACCUAAUCAUCCCCAAAAUGUCCUCCCAGGUGAAAUCUUAAGGAUUCUUAGAUGUUUGUUGGCUCGGAGAUGGUUAAUUAUUAAGGUCCUCUAUUUUACUCUCAACAUUCCUGAGGACAGCUGAUUUUGUGGUAGACACCUUAAUUACUUUGGUAUAAAAAGGUUUUGUAAGCGUGUUACUCUACCAAAUCAAAUAUCUGACAAGCACAAUCUCUACACCUAGAAUAAAAGACAAGCUUUAUUCAGGGAGUUCCCUUUGUGGCACAGUGGAAAAGAAUCCAACUAGUAUCCAUGAGGAUACAGGUUCAAGCCCUGCCUUCACUCAGUGGGUCAGGGAUCUGGCAUUGUCAUGAGCUGUGGUGUAGGUCUCAGAGGUGGCUCAGAUCCUGCGUUGCUAUGGCUGUGGCAUUGCCGGGCAGCUGUAGCUCAGAUUCGAUCGCUAGCCCAGGAACUUCCAUAUAUAUACCUCAGGUGCGGCCAUAAAAAAAAAAAAAAAAAAAAGACAAGCUUUAUUCACAGACAGCAUAUCAUUUUGCAAUGUAAACCUAGUUAAAAAUCAAAGCAGGGACCAGCUGUAAGCAUUGCUGAGGAUGUCAAAUUCCUAAGAGUUUGUAACUAAGAGAAAGGCCUCCGGCCCCCACUGGGCAGGUAGGGUAGAAAAACACAGCACACAUCUCCAGGUGGCAAUGCUGCCAUGCCACCUGGGGGGCUGCUUUCCAGCACAACAGUACCAUAGUCAAUUACAAGAUCUAUCACAAAUAGUUUAUUCUUGUUAGAACAAGUUAAAAAAUAGCCCAGUAUUAUCCCUCGAACUCCCUGCCCUGAUCCCUGGAGGGGGCAGAAAUGGAUGGAAUUACAGCCAAUCAGAAACCCUGAGUAACUUACUUUCUCAGUAGCUCUUGGGCUCAAAGCCUAUCAAGUGGCAGAGAGAGAGAGAGACUGAGAGUCUCUUUACUUCAUUAGAACCAGCUAUGUUUUGGGAGUCACAAGUCUUGAAUAUACUUGUGAAAUUUCGCAGUUUUCAUCUGGAUCAUUUGAAAAGCUCAUUCUUAAAUAUACCUUGGUAAUCCUUAUGAGUUUCACUGUCCAUAUGGCUACAUACCUUCACGUUUUAUCACCAGGGGUUUUCAAAAUCAUUUCACUGGCAUGUCCUAAUCCUGACACAGAACCUAGAAGCCAUAAAAGGGGAGAUCUAGGAAAUCCAUCACAUGAAAUAGUUUCUGCCAUGAUAUGCAAACAAGGUGACAAAGCAGGUGAGCUAUUUAAAGCUAGCUUAUCACAGGAGUUCCUGUUGUGGUGCAGCAGAAACAAAUCAUAUUAGUAUCCAUGAGGAUGCAGGUUCAAUCCCUGGCCUUGCUCGGUGGGUUUAGGAUCCUAUGUUGCCAUGAGCUGUGGUGGUUUGCAGACACCACUUGGAUCUGGUGGUGUUCUGAGUGUGGUGCAGGCUGGCAGCUCUAGCUCCAAUUUAACCCAUAGCUUGGAACCCUCCAUAUGCUGCGGGUGCAGCCCUAAAAAGCAAAAAAUAAAAAAUAAAAAAAUAAAGCUAACCAAACACAAUAGAAAAUUGUGGUCAAUUAACAACAUUGGAAGGCCAUCAGUGAAGUUAAGACUGAAACCCUCUCAAGGGUUUGAUUUAAAAAAAAAAAAAAGACUGAAACCCUCUAAAGAUUAAGCACAUUUCUUCAACAAAUAAGAAGGAAAAAGAAAUGGAAGGGGAAACAUAGAUUAAAAGAAGAAACAACCACUUUAGUUUCACUGAAUGUAUUUGUACAGAUAAAUUACAGGCUGAAAAUAUCAAAUGGUGAGGAUGUGGACCAACUGGAACGCUAACCACCUUGGAAAAGGGUAUGUCAGUUUCUGUAAAAUUUAAAAUAUACUAACUCUGCCACUCAGGAUUUUCUACCAAGUACUUGCCCAAAAGAAAUUAAAAGUAGGUCCACAACAAGCCUUGCACAAGAGUCAUAGCAACUUUAUUCAUAAUAGCCAAAAACUGGAACAGCCCAGUGCCCAUCAGUUGUUCACCCAACAAGUGAAAGAGUAAACUGUGGCCUACCGACACAAUGGAGUACUACUCAGCAAUGAAAAGGAACAAAGAGCUUAAACACGUAGAUGAAUCUCAAUACAUGCCGAGUACAAAUUUAUACAAGAACACAUACUGAUUCCAUUUAUACGAAGUUCUAGAAUAGGCCAAGCUAACCUAUGGUGAAAACAAAAUCCUAACAAGAAGGGAUGGGAGAGGUGCAAGAAUUACUAAAGAAAUCUUCUGAUGUGUCAAAUGUUCCAUAGCUUGGGUUACACAGCUGGAUAUCAAAAUUCAUCAAGUGGUACACUUUACAUUUGUUCACUUUCACUGUACAUUUUACUUCAAGAACAAGGAGUCUGCUUAAUAAUACGGAUGCUAAAAGCUUAAGAAUCAAGUACAGAUGUCUAUGACUUUAACAUAAAGAAAUAUAGACUGAUGGCUGCACAGAUACAUGAUGAAGAAAAUAUGGCAAAAUGUUACUUGUAAAAUCAAUGUGGUAGAUAUAGGCAUGUUUUUAAUUCAAUGUUUUCAAAUACUUGAGUUUUUUUAUUAAAAUAUUGCAGGGGAAAAAAGAGACAUAAUAACCAUUGCAAUGAGUGGACUGUUGUUCAGAUCCUGCUUCAAGAAUAUAAACUUUGGGGGGUUUCCGGUGGCUCAGCAGGUUAAGCAGUGGGCAUUGUCACUGCUGUGGCAUGGGCUUAGUCCCUGGCCAGGAAACUUCCACAUGACCCAGAUGGCAAAAAAAACAAAAACAACAAAAAAACACUGACAUUUCAUAUAGAUAUUUGGUAAGAAAGUAUUUUUAAAGUCCUUUUUAAAAAAGAUGUAUACUGAAAUACAUCCAGAUAAAAUGAUACUGUCUUGAAUUUGCUUUAAAAUUAAUGAGGAUAAAUAGAUGGAGAUUGUAAGAAAAAAAAUGGAGAGAGGAUAUGAAAACAAAUUCAUAGAAAAUGAAAUUCAAAAGCUCUUACUUAAUGUGAAGAAAUGCUACAUUACAAGAGAAUAACAUACCACUGCGCAUUUGGUUUUUGGCCAUGCCCACAGCAUGCAGAAGUUCUGGGCCAAGGAUCAAACCCACACCACAGCAGUGACAAUGAUGGAUCCUUACCCCACUAUGCCACUAGGAAACUCCCGGUUUUUUUUAACCUUGGCAGAUUGGCAAAGAAAAGAUUGCUAAAAAACUGUGCUGGGAGGCUACAGGAAAUAGGCAUUUGCAUUGCAGGUGCAAACUAAGAAAAAAUAAAUUAUGGAUAUAAAUUUAAUUUUAGAUAUAAAUUACAGCUGCACAUACUUUGACCAUGUAUCCUACAGAGAAGUUUAUGUAUGUACAAAACGACAAAUUUAUAGAAGGUAAUUCAUUUCAGCAUUACAUAACAAAAGAUUGGAAAUAAUGUACAUGUUCAUUAGUAAUG
rnacentral:lncRNA from 1 species